AUAACAGGCUGAUACCGCCCAAGAGUUCAUAUCGACGGCGGUGUUUGGCACCUCGAUGUCGGCUCAUCACAUCCUGGGGCUGAAGUAGGUCCCAAGGGGAUGGCUGUUCGCCAUUUAAAGUGGUACGCGAGCUGGGUUUAGAACGUCGUGAGACAGUUCGGUCCCUAUCUGCCGUGGGCGCUGGAGAAUUGAGGGGGGCUGCUCCUAGUACGAGAGGACCGGAGUGGACGCAUCACUGGUGUUCGGGUUGUCAUGCCAAUGGCACUGCCCGGUAGCUAAAUGCGGAAGAGAUAAGUGCUGAAAGCAUCUAAGCACGAAACUUGCCCCGAGAUGAGUUCUCCCUGAGACUUUAAGUCUCCUGAAGGAACGUUGAAGACGACGACGUUGAUAGGCCGGGUGUGUAAGCGCAGCGAUGCGUUGAGCUAACCGGUACUAAUGAACCGUGAGGCUUAACCUUACAACGCCGAAG
rnacentral:rRNA from 1 species